GGGGGGGGAAUUGAUUUUUAGCAAGCUGCAGUACAGCUCUGGCAGGUGACAGUCUCUGGGCAGCAGCACCACAGGGUGACUAAGCAAACCACUCCUAAAAGCUUUAUUCGACAACAGCACAACAGGCUGGGAGCCGGGCUGAAGCCAAACCUGAAUUACAGCGGUAAUUUACAUGUCUAAGCCUGAAACGCCGAGCUCAGCCACCUACAGCUGCGCCUCCCAGCGCCAUGCCGGAUGGAUGCCCGCUGCUUCCCCCUCACCUCCCGCGUCAGCGCCGGUAACCAGGAGCCAGGUAGAUCCAGGUCACCUCUGUGGUCCCGUGCAGCCUGGAUUACUGUGUGCUUCUGUAAGGUGUACUCCUCUGGAACUCUUCCUAACAGCUGAGUGAGCAGACAGGGGGGCCAUGUGAUGCUUGGCAACAGACUUGGACACUAACAGAAGUUCCUCAGAGAUCCUGGAAGCUGUGGCACCCCCUCCCCUGGGCAUUGUCCCCGCUCCAGUAGCAGCCGGCUGUCUUCCUCUUCCCCGAGGACAAACACAGCAGCGGAAAAGGAGCAGAGCUGCCUGAAAAGUGGGUCAAGUGUGGUAUGAAACACCCACCAUAGGAUACUCCCAAGCAGGGCUUCUUCAGCCGCACCCCCUGCCCCCCAUUUUCCUUAAAAAAGAAAGAAGCGAAUAAAAGAGAGUAGCUAUCACUGCCGACUCCUCCGCUGAUGGCCACGAUAAAGAUUUUUCACAGCAAGGUUUAGGGUUUGGCUGGAUGUGGGGGGUGUUUUCUCAAACUCCUGAAAAAUCAAGGCAGUUGGGAGCCAAGCUAAAGCCUUUCAGCCCAAUUGAUCAUGCAAUUAUCAAUGUAUACUCUUGAAUAUAUAUACAAUGAACUCUUUUACAGUUCAGCACUUUCAGUUUUAAAUGCAUAAUCUGUGAAAAAACUUAUCAAGUGAUUGAAAUUAAAAACCAAAUAAACUAAAGCAACAAAAACAAACAAAAAAAAACUAAACUCCAAAAACCCAGAUGUGUUUGGGAGAAAUCUACUGAGGAAGAUGUAUACAGAAGUCAAGACAACCAAAAGCAAAGAUUUAGUUUAAUUUAUACAACCUUGUGCAAUGAUAUGAGUAGCUGCAAAAUGGAGAGUGUUCUCAAAAUCACUUUCCUGCAAGUUCUCAUGCAGGAUGCUCACCCUGAUCGCCCUGCACCUCUUCCAUCACCAGUUCCAGGUACUAUUAGUGACUAAUAUUUUAUACAUUGUUUAUACCAGCAGCAAUCAUUUCAAUCUUCAUCCCAAAAUUCUAUUCACCAGAGUAAUUAGGAGAUCAAUAUUCAACCCAUUUUUAAGAAUAAAGCUUUUAAGCUGCAGCAUAGGUUUUAAAAGGCUAAAACAUGCAGUACUGCCUACUUUAACACCAAAAGUGUUGUUUCAGCCUUUCUUCCUUGUCCAUGUGCCAAAGCACUCUGGUCCCUUGCUCAAGAAAGCAGCUUGCCUUUAUUCUCAUCCAAAAGGAGUACAGCCAAAUGAAUUAGAGCAUCAAAAUAACUUUUUGUAAAACCACAGAAAGCUGACUCUUGAACUGCUGACUCUGCAGGGCUUUCUUGGUGUGUUCAUGGAUACUGAAAGAUUGCUACACAGUCCAGUGUGAUUUUUACUUAACACUUUACCUAUUUCCCACUUUCUCCCAGAACACUUUGCAGAACACCAGUACUGUGUUAUGAUUGCUGUGGCACACAGAAGGCAUCCAACACCUUAUACAAGGCUUCAAAAAUCACUGCUUGCAGACAUUUUGCUCCAAAAAUCCAAGAUCAUACAAACCAUGGUUUGGUUGCAAAAAACAUGGAACACGUAAAAGCCAUUUCUCAGGCAAAGUCUGCUCUAACCUACACAGCAACCCUUAAAACACAUUAAGAGUUUCCAGGAGUGAUCUGUAUCCAGACAAAACCACCAGCAAUUAGAGCAAUAAAUGAGGGUGGAACAGGUGCAUAAGGAGGUAAUGAGAAUGGAGGCACACCUUCAGCUCACUGAAUUUGGAGCAGCAUUUAAUUUGAAAUUCAAAGUUGUGACCCCACUUGCAUUUUCAUACAACCAUUUUUCCUGAAAGAACAAGAGUACUUGUUCUUCAGCCCCCUCCCAAAGUCACAGCACCUCCAAGAGCAGGAACUGCACUCCAGUAUUAUUAAAGAAACAAAGAGGUAAGAGGGGAAAAAGAAUGUGUUUAUUGGAAAGGCCCAAAAUAAACCCAGCACUAUCAUAGCAGGUUUGGUUUCAUCUUGUACAGGAGGAAAUCCUUUAUGCUUAAGAGUCACGAUAAAUUUUUAAAUUGUCAGAGCAAAGACUUUGUCCCAAGGCCCUUGAAACACAAUUACUUUCUAGAAAGGACUCAAGUGCUUCAGUUUACUAUAAAAUCAAAAUCCAUGCAACAUGGAUUGGUAGGUAUUGGCACCUCUCAGCAGUUUUUUCUGUUACGAGAGGAGCUUUUGACAGGAACCGGACUAAGGCACGGGCAGGUAAAAUUUCACAGCUUCCACUGGCAGGAUGUCCCCUCACCACCUUUUUCACAGGGCAGAAUGUGUUACCAUCCAGACAUGGGGAAGGAAGUAAUGCUCUAUUUACACUCUCACAUGCACCCAGUAUCUUGCCAGGGUACUAUCAGAAGACCUAAAUGAGGUAACAUUGCCCAAGCACUUGGAGCAGGGAUACUGAGUGUGAAUGGAAGCGUUAGCAGCUAGAAACGACCCAAAAUGAGCAGCAGGUGACAGUCACACACACUGGGUACCUUGGACAAACAUCCAUCUACAGUGGCAGCUUCAGCGAUGGAGCAGGGACUGGGACAGCAACCAGCCCCAAGCUCCAGGGAUCUGUGAAGAGGGGGGCCAUAAGCAGAGGAACAAAGCACACAAUGGAAAGAGGCAGAAGAAAGGUGUAGAAAGAGGGUAAAGGGGGAAAAAAAUCUGGCAAAUUCAUACACUUCUGUAUGUAUGUAAUACAUAUUUUGUCUCUUGUUUUUGAUUUAAUGGAUCCUCAGUUCAGGACAGGCCUGCCACAGUUUAGAGUGCUCACUUUGAUGUGAUAUGGCCAAUGACUCAUGCAAAACGAAAUAUGGAAAGCUCAAAACUGUCUCCUUUUCUCCAUCAAUAUUCUCCUGGGUCUAUACAAGUUCUGAGAAAGAAGAAAAAAAGAAAAAGAACAGCUCAUGGAAAAGUGUAAUUUCAUUCCCAACUACCUUCUCAUAACCUAAACCCCAAUGUCAGCCCUCCUCACUAGGAGUGGGGUGUGACAUUUCCACUUAAACAUUGAACCACCACACGAUGGGAUUUCCAGCUCUGCCUCUGUUUUGUAUUUCAUGGAAUGCACCAGGCAUUGUAGAAAUGGAGGAAUUACUAGUGAUCUCCAAAACCUGCUCAUUUCUCUGCAGCCACCAGGCUCACAAGCUGAAGUAAAGGAAGUUUAGUGCAGGUGAACUAAUCAAUCAGCCAUCGAUAAAUCAAACCCCCAAUUAUCUUUAUCUUUGUUUCUUCUCUUGCAUCUUCCAAAGAUGGGUUCAGCUGGUUAGUGCUCCAUGACAGCAAUAAAUUUUUUCUUCCCAAUGUGUUUUUUUUUUCACAAUGUAGAAUCUUCACACGGACCAUCACAACAUAAUUACAGAGGAAAGCACAAAAACUGGAGUGACUCCAACAUUGUCCAUGGACUUUACUAACAAUGACUUGGAUCUGUGUACAGAAACUGAAGCAAGGACUGCUCCCUACCAGAGCAGAUGAGUCAUGCCAAUUAAAGCAGCAAGGAAAGCAGAAAAUAGGGCAAAGUCAUUCCUCUUGAAGGAAUAGUGUCAAUGAAAACACAAAGUCCCAUCUACAUAAACACAGAGAAAGACAAGCAACAGGAAUGGAACGUGAACUACUCUCAGCAAAGGAUUUUUUUAAUAGCGAUCAAAGCAAAAGCUCCCAAUAUACUAAAAAAAGCCACUUCAUAUGCACUUAUUUUUAGCAUGCACUUCUUCCUGUAAGAGAUCAAACUACAGCAGACUGAGCUCUCCAGAAGCAAUUUGAAACCCAACCUACAGGACAAAGCUCAAAUUCUGCUGAAGGAAAAGCAACCACUUGAACCCUUUCUGAAAGGGGAUGAAGUAAUGCUUGAUGAAAUGCAGCAUCUUCUUUGCAAGUUAAAGAAUUAAGUGGUCCUCCAGUUUUUUAGAAAAGCAAGAAAGCACCAAAAAGCAUGCCUAGGACUAAACCUCCAGGUGAGUUGGACAUUUGCAAAAUUUCUGUGUGUUCCCUUAGAAACAAGCAGAGUAAAAAACAAACUUCCAUGUUAUUACAGAAUCUACACUGUGCCCAAGAAAGUUAAAGUCUCAAACAAUAUGAAUAUUAAGAGUCCUAUUAAAUCAGCAGCCAGGUACAUCAUUUAGAUGUACCCAAGAAGUUUCACACACAAGCCUUAAGAAGGCUAACAUUUGAAUUUUGGCUUUGAACCAAAUCAUCAAAUUUGGGUUCAAAUCUUGAAGUAGUAGAAAGAAAAUAUUUAAACAGAAGUUAACAUAAACCACAUACUACUGUUUUUCAGAAUGGAAGCUUGGGCAAAUACACGUAGCACUAAACUUCAAGUUGUUUCCUUUAAUAUUUACAAAACUGGUUUUAUUCUUAGUUUUUUCAGAAAAAUGGUUUUAAGUAUUAGCACCUACAUUGUAAAUGACUCAAACUUCAAUUUACACUUGAAAUAAAGCCACACGCGAUUAGUUAAGUGAACCUAUAUUCUUUCAUUUCUGAGUAUUUUAGUAGAGCACCAAGAGGGAAAGAGCAACAUGUGAAUAACCAGCAAGCUUUUCUCAGCUGUGAGACAAAGGCCCAGGCACCUUCCUGGGACAGGAUUCAAAAGGUCAGAGUUUUCCAGCACACUCCAAAUCAACUCAGUUUUAGUUAUUUAUAAGGUGGAAAUUUCUAUCCAAGUUUAUAAAACCCAUCCAGCUACAUGUUAGUUUAUUAAACCACAGUUGACCUGAGAUGCAAUUAGAAUUUUGACAUUUUUCCAUACUUAGUUCACAAGUUUAUUAUGAAAAACACUGCAGCUCUGUCCUGCAGUAACAUUGUUUUACAGAAAAAAACAAUUCUGUUCAAUGUAAUUCACUAUCCUUGGACAAUUACAAGGGACAAUAUGGUAGGGCAGAGUGGAAAAGGGAACUGAGUGCAGACAAAAAAAAAAAAAAAAAUCAAUACAAUUAAAUUAAACAGUAUUCCCUGAAAAUAAAACAAACAAACAGUUUCAGAACAAAUAUGAGGCCUUGGUACUUAUUUUAAAAAUGUUCUUUAAGCUUCAAUGAUUGUUUGCUGCUA